ACUUUUCUAUUUCCCUCCAUCAUUAACAAUUCCCUUUCAUAUUCUUCUUUUCUUUUUUGUUGUUGUUUCUUUUUUUUUUUAAUUUCGAACAUAUCCUUAGAAUAUAUGUGCGAGUUAAAAUUGAAGACAGAUCGAAAAUAAAGGUAGAAUUUAGUUAUUGAUUCAUUUAGUGUUUCUUUAAUUUCUUUUUAUCCUGAAAAAUAUUUAUUUCGCAAAUACACCGUUAAAUCCUUCCAUCUUCAACACAAAACACAACCACCUACGAAAUUUUAAGGUGGAGGUUGGUGUUGGUGCAAUCGUUUUCGCUUCUUGAACUCAAGGUGUUCGACAAAAUGGGUAGCAGAGAAACUGCAAGUGCAAGUGUUGAUGAUGGUGGAACAAAACCAAUGAUGAUGGAAGGGUGGUUAUACCUCAUACAAUCCAACUGUGUGGGGCUUCAGUUCUUGAGAAAGCAUUACUUCGUGCUAAAGGGUCACCAUCUUCGAAGUUACAAGUACCUUCUUGCACUUUCUCGCAACAACAACAACCAUCAGCUUCUUCCUCUCAGAAGUGCUGUUCUUGACUCCACCAUUCGGGUCCUUGAUAAAGGCAGAGAAACCAUUAAAAUAGAAAAGUGUUUUUCAUGUUCACCCUUUACAGCAAGUCAGCACUUCCAAUCACAACAAUCAAUUAAAGAUAACUUCUUCACAUUUUCAUCUUUUUUUCCAUUCAUUUUUUUAAAAGCUAUCUAGACCAAGUGGAUCCACCAGCAUUGGGUUGGUUGAGUGGAUGCCAAAAUCUUCGAUGUUAGGCAGCAUAGGGUCUAAAGAAUGCAAAACCAAAAAGUUAAAUUGGGGAUUAGUCCAGUAAGUAGAGUGAACCUCAUCCACUGAAAAGCAUUUUUGUCUAAAUUUAGUUAUGAUCAGUUACAAUGACAUUGUUCAAUCCAAUUAGCUAUAAUUAGUAUGAUGGAUUUUUUUUAUAAGAAAAUGUGUAUAACCAUAGACAUACUCACAUCACUAUUGUCGUUCAUCUGAGUUCAUCUGGAGAGUUGACAAGAAGCAUCGGGCUUAGUCUGAAGGAAGGAGAUGUCAACUCUGAUAGUCAAAGGCAGGUAGUAGAUGAGAAUGCCCGACAUAGCUCAGAUGGAGUAGUAGUACAUCAAACACAAUCUGAGCAUGCAACCCUUGUUAGCCUAAAUGAUGCUGAUGAUGAGUUUUUUUAUGUUCCAGAACCAUCAGACAGUGAUGAGUUGGAAAAUGGAUGGAUGCCUGAUUGUAGUCACAAGAAGUCUCUGGUAAAAAGCUGUUUGAUAUUAUAGUCUAGAAAUUUAGCAUGUUCCUUUUUAUGACUCAUCAAAUGCUUACAAUAAGUAUAUUCACCAACACUCUCAAGUCAUGCUGUCCUCUGGCAUAUUUUAGUUAUAAGUCUAUAACCCUUAUAAUUCAUGUAGUGCACUUGUCUUCUUGUACUUUUAAUUGGAGAACUACACUAAACUUGGCAUUUUCCUCCUAUGGAUUUGAUCGUUUCAAGACUUCCGUCAAGUAAGUUGUCCACAGCUGCUAAUUUUGUGAAAAAAUUGCAUGAUCUUGCAGUUUAGAAGAAGGGUUAUGUGGACUUACACAAAAUGGUCAGAGAAGACAGUACCUUAUGGAUCAACUCUUCCAAAAGAUUUCUCUUGUACAUUACCUUGCAGCUGGGCAGAACCAGAUCCUUCCACUUUCCUGAUUCGUGGGGCAAAUUACCUCGAAGAUCGCCAGAAGGUUAAGGCAAAGGGAACCUUGAUGCAAAUGGUUGCUGCAGACUGGCUGAGAUCUGAUAAAAGAGAAGAUGAUCUUGGUGGCCGACCAGAGAGCAUUGUGCAGCAAAGGGUGGGCCCGAGUUCUUCUUCAUUUUAAACAUUCAGGUGCAACUACAUAUAACCUAGCACUAUAUUACAUGAUGACUACACCUGUGGAAGAUACCCCUUUGCUUGAGAGUUUUAUCAAGGGGUUCAUGGAUAGUAAAAUAAAGUGUGCGAAAGAAGGCAUGCUUAAUUGGUCAAGCAUUGAAAAUUAACUAUUUCCAAGGGAAGAACUAUUUGGAGACGACCUUAAAAUAAGUUGAAAGGAGCUUGGGGUUGAUGUUGGAUCAUUAACUGUUGCAAGAGGUGUUGUAAGUCUUGUCCUUGGAUACCUCAAUCAUCUAGUUAUUGAAAUGGCCUUUCUAAUACAGGGAAUACGCAGGAAGAGCUUCCGGAAGAGUUCCUUUCAGGGACACGCCGCCUUAACCAUCUAGAAUUCUAGAUGCUUCCAAAUCAGUUUCUUUGAAGCCUUGAUUUUCAAUGAGAUAUUUAAGUACCUUUGGUCUUAUGAAGGAGGUUGCCAUCUUGUAUAUAAAUUGAAACAAGGAGAGUUCUUUGGUGGCUCCAAUUCCUUUAAUUGAAUUCCAAAAGCCAUUAUUUUAUUCAAUCAAAGCAGUUUGUGAUGAUGUUUGGUACUAAUCUUUCAAAACAAUUGCAUAUCUUCCUUAGUUUUUGUUAGUAAUGUAAAUCACACAUGAAGCUCAUACAUAAAAAUAUUAUUCCAUUUUUACCCCCUAAGUUGUCUUAAGAAGAAUGUAUCCAAUUCAUAGUCAUAAACUACUUAAAGGUGGUACAAGGUAGAGGGAUUUCAACACCAUGACACAUGAAUCCAUAUUCCAAUUAUGCACAAUAUGUAUAUAUAUAUAUAAUGUAUGUAGGGGCUUGCUCCUUGAAUAAUACAAAUGCCCCCACAUUGUUUCGUUUGGCAAGCAAAACUAUAUGAAAUUCCUAAUUUUCGAGGC